rnacentral:lncRNA from 11 species
UGGAGGAAAUUCAUAACUUCUAAUCUUAAUUUCUACUUAUUGUCAGGGUGCAACAAAGAACAGCAUCAUCAAAGCUGGUCUUUUCGCAACCUGACUACAAGAGGACAGAGGAAGGAGACCAUUUGGCAGGAUAGGCUGAUUUAUGACAGGGUCUGGUCUUCAAACGUGGGAAAGGACCAAAGGAAAGGGAGGUGUGGAUGGAGAAGGAGGAGGGGGGAGGCAACAACCCCAUAUACUGAGGGGAAAAGCGGAAGAGAGUCAGUAAAAGCUUUUGCAGUCAUCUUGGCAAGGCGGAUUCAAUAAAGUUUUCCAUUGCGACCAGCGGUGUGAGCCUAUUUCUUGGGUCCUACACCUUCCAGGAGCGGACAUUAAGCUUUUACUCCCUUUUUUUUCGGCUCAUCCCAUGAGGAAAGGUCUCUCCGGUGAGAGCAUGAACCCUGAUGGAGGAGAAACCAUGAAGGAAUUCCUCUUCCUGGAAGAAGAACAGGCGAACCCUCGAGGUGCAGAGGAGUUGAGAGAGGAAAGGAACCCAUCGCCCGCACUGAGCGAAGGGGGGACAGACCCCUCGGACCCGUCGUGGAAGCCGCUGACCUCCACCCAGUUACCCGCAGGCAGGGGAGUGACGAUGGAUCUGAUGCAGCGGCAGGUAAACGAGUCCUGGAGGGCGACAGUCGAGCAACGGGAGCAGAGGAGAGGGCUGCCCGGGAGAGGCACUGAACCCCGUCCCUUUGCCGGGGAGGGUCCACAGGACUAUGUGGAUGAGAUGCCUCAGCAGGGCACAUCAGUUUUCCCCACGGGCCUGUCGGGAAGGAGCCAAAUGCCUGGGAAGGGAGAAUUUCGGGUGAAGUUCAACGGGGACCCCAAACAGCUGUCUUAUUUCAU